rnacentral:lncRNA from 1 species
UGAGGAGAGAGGCCAGCUCUUUUGGUGAGGGGCCAGGCCAGGGCAAAGCAGGAUUGGGGUGCAGUGGAGCCUGUUACAAGAAUCAGGUAUUGUGAUAGGUCUGGCACCCCUUUAUGCUCCUCUUGCUCACUUGUGUCUGUCAGCAGCCUCCUACCCUCCUGGUUCCGCUGGCCGGGCCAGGAGAGGAUGAGUGACCAGGAGAUGCUUGUAUAUAGCUGGGUGGGACUAUUCUGAGCCCUAGCUCGGGAGGCCCACUCUUCCUGGAUGGGGAAAGGAUGUGGGAUGAGGGCAGAGGGAGGUCUCUCUUUUGCCUCUUGUGAAUUAACUUGCCUCUCCUCAGCCUUCCCCUCCAGACCACCAGCCUGGGAGGGGAGAGGAAGGAGGUCACAGCCCAGCAAACUGGCCUGUGGCAGCUUCCCUUCCUUCCACCAAUGUGAGCCAUCUCGAGAUGUCUGUACAAUAGAAACCAAACCAAAUGGGCACCCUGGGCUGCCCAGGGGCAGGGAAUGGGAGGGGGGUGGGAAGAAGGGAUGUCUGUCUGUCAGUCCCCUCCCCCUCUCCACUCCUUACCCACAAAGGCAAAAGACUGUUACACUAGGGGCUCCGCAGAUCCAGUCCCACCCUUGCUGGGUGAGCCUUUCCUAGAAACAAGCGCAAAGUGAGUGAGCGGCAAAACAAAGCAAUGAGGGAGUGAGACGGGCGACCAACAGAGGAGAGAAAACAAAAAUAGCAAAAAAAGAAAAAAAGCAGUUCUUUAUAAUUUAAUAUUCUAUUUUAAUAAAGGCAUUUAUUACCGUAUAAAUGUAGCAAAGAACCUGGGCUAAUAUGAAAAAAAGACUUUUUAUUAGGUAAUUUAUUAUAUGAAAAGGAUAUUUUAUUUUAUGAUAAAGUGAUCCUUAAAAAAACUUUAGAAGGUUUAGAAUAUAUGUAGGGAGAGAAGAAAAAAAUACAUUUGUAUUCAGAGUUAAAUCUUAAAAAAAGUUUUUAAUAUAUGUUCGGGUUUAUGUUCUUUUUUUUUUCCCCCACUUUUUUUUGGGGAGAAAUGUCAUUUGCUUUUCUUGGGGGAGCAUCCUGGGAUGGAGGGUGGAGCGGGGAUGGGGAGUUGGUCCCUUCUGGGGCCCCCACCAGUAGAUUGGAUUUCACUCUGUGGGCUCCCCUCCCCCUCCCCCUCAGGGGGAGCCGGCAGAGCAAAACAAAGGAAGGGAUUAACCAGAAAGGAAGAAGCUUUGGGACUAAGGACUGAGGGUCCUGGAGUGUCCCUCCUUCCCCUACCCUGUGCCAGGGGCAGUCAGGAGGGAAAAGCCAGAACUGAGGCCUAACAGGCCUAUGGAAACCCUCAGAGGUGUGAGAUUUAAGAGAAAUAGAUUUUUUUUAACCAAAAAAAGUUUUAAGAAAAAAAAUGAGAAGAGAAAGAAAAACCGAGGGGUUUAAAAGAAGAGAAUACUACAAAAUAAUUCAAAUUUAUUUCAUAUAAUCCUAGAAAAAGGAAAAGAAUUACUAGUUACUUAGUAGAUGAUACUCAGAAUAGCUUAAAGUUUAGUAGCAUUGUGGGCCCCUGAGCCCAGUAGAAUGUAUAAAAGUAUGGGAAAGAGAAAAGAAUAGAGGCCAGUGGCUGCUGCCCUACCCCUGGGGCCAGGGCUAGAGCAGGCUGCUAGCUAGGAUUGGGAGCUUCCAGUCUGCUGGGGUUGAUUCUGAGAAUCCUUAGGUUUAAGUGCGGGACAAGUACAUGAGGGGCUCUGUCCCAGGGUCUUUGCAAGGGUACACACUGGUCACCGGAAGCUCCACGAGGCUGGGCUGAGAUCCUGGCCAUCUGUUAGGAAACCCCUACUCCUAAUGCCCAACCCUCCCAGCCUCUCCCAGGCCACCCUGAGGAAGUCCUUGAAGUCAGCUCGGUCCUUCUCCCUACAGGUGGGUUCCCGAGCCAGGUGUAGCUAGCUGUUCUUUCUGUGAAUGAGCCAGCAACUUCUUGUCAGCCCAGACUCCAGCACCCUGCUGUGUGGGAGUGCCAUUGCAGUUUCUAGUGCUGUUUUUCUUCACAUCUAUAGUGGGGUGUUUUGGGGUUUUUUUUUUUGUUGUUGUUGUUGUUCAUUUGUUAUUUUUUUGACACAGGGUCUCUAGUUCAGUCUGGCCUUAAACAAGCAGCCAUCUUCUUGCUGCCUCCAGUUGCUGGGACUAUAAAGAAUGCACCGCUAUUCCUGGCUUUGUGGAGUCUCAGAGAAGUUAACAUCCCAAGGAAGACUUCCUACUUGGGAAGUAUAGUGCAAGUAUUGUCCUUACGGGUCUGGGGGAACUCCCCCACUCCACCCCUAAGAACAGAUAAAGUGUGCAGGGAACUUGGGUGACCCUCUGUGCAACCCUUGUGUUCGGAUAGGAAUCACGCAUAGGGCCACAUAACCUUCCCCACAGAAAGCCGGGAGCCUGGCUUUCGCAUGUGAGAAAUAGGCAUUUUUAAGCACUUGCCUUCCAUCACCCCUAGCUAGCAAUGAGAUCAGGAUUGGGAGAGGCCUCUUGGCUUUAGCUUGAUUGAGCAGUAUACCAGUGAUUGACAUGCCACUUCAUGACCCUAGAGCCCACACACAUCUCCCUCUCCCCAAAUUACUCUUCUCACCCCAUCUAGAGACUAGAAGUUCCCCUGCCCUUUUUGCCCAAGGCCCUCGGUAGUUUUUUGAGAUGGUAGCACCUGGGAAUGGGGAGAAUGUCCCCUAGCAAUCCUGAGGGUGAGUGGUUGGGUAGAGACAGCCCCGGGGCAGGGAAGAUGGUCUCUCCACUGUAGAAAGUAGAGUAGGAUCGUGGUCAGACUUAAUUUGAGGCAUCAAGUGACUCGUACAAAUCACCAAGGAAGAUUCCAAAUGCAGAGUAAAGGUGGGAAAUGAAACAGACCCAUGAGUAAUCAAGUCAAAGUGAAGUUGCACACAAUGCAGAGAAACCAAGAAGGGGGAGGGUUAAUGUAUUAAAUGUGCUAUGGAGAAGUUAAUUUUAUUAAAAGUAUUAUUACUU